UUCCAAUCGUCACACGGAGUUUUAAUAAGUGAAAAUAUGUAAUCUGUGAUUAUUAUUAUUAUCAGCGGCGGUGAAGAUGAAAAUACCCGACGAGCCAGCAGAAAAAGUGAUUCGGAAGGCUAUUCACAACAUUAAGAAUAGUCAUUUUCAGAAGA